UGCCCUGCUUCGAACUGAAGUGAGAUAGAGAUUCUACACCCACUCGACUUGGUUGCGCAGAACCAGAACCUGAGGAAGGAGAAGAAUCGCCCAGACUAUUUGGUUUGAUCCAUUCUGAGUCCUUGAUAUUACUCUGAAGAAGAAUCACCCAGAUGGUUUUGCUGCGUUUUGUGGAUGCAUGCAUGUCAUCUUCUUCGAAACCAAGCAUCAAUUUGAUCUGAAUUGGAUGCUUCUGCUCUAAGUUCAGGUUUUGAGGAAGAAGCUAUCUUCACCGUUGUGACUGCAGAAUGCGCUUUCUUGGAAAUUGUUCUUACUUGCCUCCGAUAUGCUUUGCCUUCUUAGUUAAGGUCAACCUCCUGAACUCAUUGUACGUUAUUGGUGGUGUGGCUGCUCUGCUUUUUGGACCGACAAGUUACCUGAAGUGGGCACUAUCAACAGCUUCCAAUAGACUAACAGAUUGAAAAACUGAAAGUGGAGCAAUCUAAGCUCUACUUGAGGAGAAAUGGGUUCAGACUGACUGGCAAUAUGGACAAGCUCAUUCAACAGAUUAAGGAGCAUUUAGAUUCUAGGGAUUUUGAAUGAUGGAGGUGAGAGGUGAGAAAAAAAGAGGAGAAAGUUGAUACAAGCAAGAAAGAAACUCCCCUAAUUGACAAGAAAGUUGACAAGGAUCUACUGCAGGUUCUUCGCCUGGAAUCAAGUCGGCCACAGUAGGAUAUGAGAUUGAUAAUCCAUAACUUGGGAAAUUUUCUCUCACACAAGGAUGUCAAGCUGUUCAAUUUCUGUGACACCGACUGGUCAGCAGUGUGGCACUGCGUCUUUGCUCCACAGAAGACAGUGUGUGACAGAAAGAAAGAGAGUGAGAGAGACAUAGCGAAGAAGUUUCAAACUUCUUUCAUAUUGCAAGAUCAGCAAGAUCCAAUAAACUGGUUGAUGUGAUUCCUCUACUAAUUAUAGCAAGCUUCAGAGUAACUGUUGUUAUAGAAGACGCGUCUGAUGAGGGCACUGUUAUUAUAAUGAGAAAACAAGAGCUUUUUGGAACUGCAUGCAAGGAUCUCAUCCUGAAGAAAAACUAUAAAGAUCCAUAAAUACUGCCACCAGAAAUCUUGCAAACAAGGGCAGAUUAAACUGCUGAACCUUAAACCAGGGACUGCACAAAACUUCAUCGUGAAAGGGGUAUUCCAUGACACUCAGCUAUUCCCUCCACCAGAGGAAAGUGGUCCUUUUAGUUCAACACCAGACCAAGUUUCAACAAUGAAAAAAAGGAACUUCCACUCAGUGAGGAAGCAGCUGUUUGCGUCAGUGCCUAACAAAAGUACAAAUAGUGACAGCCCCUCAAAUGAGAACGACGCAACAGACAUGACGGAAUCAACUGAAGACACAUCAAGAGGAGUUGAUGCAAAUAGUUGGUUCUAACUACAAACAUAACACUUGCUAGGCCUAACCAUUUUUUAAAAUAUGUACAUAAAAACCUACUUUGGUUUGCAUAUCUGGUUAACAUAUCAGAUUUUGGAACCUGAAGAGGAUAUUUUAGUUAUUUAUUUAAUGUUUCGGACGUUUGAAAUUGAUA